AAGCCGAAGUGUUUUUGAGCUGGGGUCGGUUGAAGCCCUACGGGUCCUCAUCAGGGCCACUCCUCCUCUUGAAAACUCUGCUAUGGCUGAGUUACCCAGAGGAAUCUUAGUCCUGCUAGCGCUGCGAUGCCCAUUGCCCAGUGUGUCAGUCCUCAUUCUGGGGCGCCAAAUGGGGCAGCAUUUUUUUUUUUUUUUGAGACUGAGCCUCUCUCUGUAGCCCAGGCUGGAGUGCAGGGGCGCGAUUUCGGCUCACUGCAACCUCCGCCUCCCAGGUUCAAGAGAUUCUCCUGCCUCAGCCUCCUGAGUAGCUGGGAUUACAGGCGCGCGCCAUCACGCCCGGCUAAUUUUUGUAUUUUUAGUAGAGACGGUUUCACCAUGUUGGUCAGGCUGGUCUCGAACUCCUGACCUCGUGAUCCGCCCACCUCGGCCUCCCAAAGUGCUGGGAUUACAGGCAUGAGCCACCGCACCUGGCCAUAAAUGGGGCAGCUUUAAGGAAGUGCUGUGGAACAUCAGAUAGAAUGGAUAGCACAGCCCAAAUUUUACAAAAAGGAUUUUAAAGGAAGAUCUCAAUGGUGGAACACUAGAGGCUUUCCUGCUAAAGUUAAGAACAAGCAAAGGCUGACGCAGUUUUGGCAUGCAGGAAGUGUUGGAGCUGAGACUCGAAACUGUCCCCCAGGCCUUGGCCAUGCUGAUAAAUAUCUAGGCCCUACAGGAGUUCGUGUCCAUGAACCCAGUAAACGCAAUUCCUCAGCCUUAAAA